rnacentral:rRNA from 1 species
UACGUAGGGUGCAAGCGUUGUCCGGAAUUAUUGGGCGUAAAGGGCUCGUAGGCGGUCCGUCACGUCGGGAGUGAAAACUUGGGGCUUAACCCCAAGCCUGCUUUCGAUACGGGCAGACUAGAGGUAUGCAGGGGAGAACGGAAUUCCUGGUGUAGCGGUGAAAUGCGCAGAUAUCAGGAGGAACACCGGUGGCGAAGGCGGUUCUCUGGGCAUGAUCUGACGCUGAGGAGCGAAAGUGUGGGGAGCGAACAGG